AGAGUUUGAUCAUGGCUCAGGACGAACGCUGGCGGCGUGCUUAACACAUGCAAGUCGAACGGAAAGGCCCUUCGGGGUACUCGAGUGGCGAACGGGUGAGUAACACGUGGGUGAUCUGCCCUGCACUUUGGGAUAAGCCUGGGAAACUGGGUCUAAUACCGAAUAUGACCAUGCGCCUCCUGGUGUGUGGUGGAAAGCUUUUGCGGUGUGGGAUGGGCCCGCGGCCUAUCAGCUUGUUGGUGGGGUAAUGGCCUACCAAGGCGACGACGGGUAGCCGGCCUGAGAGGGUGACCGGCCACACUGGGACUGAGAUACGGCCCAGACUCCUACGGGAGGCAGCAGUGGGGAAUAUUGCACAAUGGGCGCAAGCCUGAUGCAGCGACGCCGCGUGAGGGAUGACGGCCUUCGGGUUGUAAACACUCUUUCAGCACAGACGAAGCGCAAGUGACGUAUGGCAGAAGAAGACCG
rnacentral:rRNA from 1 species